rnacentral:lncRNA from 1 species
GAUGUUAAUGAAAAUUUAAUAUCUGACAAAUAUCCGAAAUCGAAUUCGCAUCUAAAGAAAAAUGUGGAUGCAGAUAUGGUUUUGUUAAAAAUCUGAUUGCAUUCGACCGUUUUCACCUCUACUUAUGCCCCACUGCACCUACACCGUACUUGCCUUACUCCACCUAUGUCUUGCACCAUGCCUUAGGCUUCGUUUGGGAUUGCGGGGAGAUUGCAUUACGUGCGAUGAGAAAGUUCGUUGGAAAAAUAAUUUGUUUGUUUCCGUACGUAAUAUUGCGUUCUGCAUAUCGCGAUGAGUCGGUAACGAUAUAUUUUCUGCGGUUCUACCGGAGAACACAGAAGCAUAUCCUUAUAUAUUUUUUCCUCAACUCUAUUUUAUCUGAUAGCGUUAGAUAUGCCUCAAUACCAAACUAAUCCUUACUCUAUUGUGUCUCAUUUCAUUGCCAUAAAU